rnacentral:rRNA from 1 species
GAGUUUGAUCUUGGCUCAGAGUGAACGCUGGCGGUAGGCCUAACACAUGCAAGUCGAACGGCAGCACAGUAAGAGCUUGCUCUUACGGGUGGCGAGUGGCGGACGGGUGAGGAAUACAUCGGAAUCUACUUUUUCGUGGGGGAUAACGUAGGGAAACUUACGCUAAUACCGCAUACGACCUACGGGUGAAAGCAGGGGAUCUUCGGACCUUGCGCGAUUGAAUGAGCCGAUGUCGGAUUAGCUAGUUGGCGGGGUAAAGGCCCACCAAGGCGACGAUCCGUAGCUGGUCUGAGAGGAUGAUCAGCCACACUGGAACUGAGACACGGUCCAGACUCCUACGGGAGGCAGCAGUGGGGAAUAUUGGACAAUGGGCGCAAGCCUGAUCCAGCCAUACCGCGUGGGUGAAGAAGGCC